GGCCUACUCGUAUAACGGCUAGUACAACAGACUGAAAAUCUGUAGGUUCCUGUUCGACUCAGGGGUAGGCCACCA
rnacentral:tRNA from 1 species